GCCUUAGUACGGCGAGUGAAGCGGCAAAAGCUCAAAUUUGAAAUCUGGUACCUUCGGUGCCCGAGUUGUAAUUUGGAGAGGGCAACUUUGGGGCCGUUCCUUGUCUAUGUUCCUUGGAACAGGACGUCAUAGAGGGUGAGAAUCCCGUGUGGCGAGGAGUGCGGUUCUUUGUAAAGUGCCUUCGAAGAGUCGAGUUGUUUGGGAAUGCAGCUCUAAGUGGGUGGUAAAUUCCAUCUAAAGCUAAAUAUUGGCGAGAGACCGAUAGCGAACAAGUACAGUGAUGGAAAGAUGAAAAGAACUUUGAAAAGAGAGUGAAAAAGUACGUGAAAUUGUUGAAAGGGAAGGGCAUUUGAUCAGACAUGGUGUUUUGUGCCCUCUGCUCCUUGUGGGUAGGGGAAUCUCGCAUUUCACUGGGCCAGCAUCAGUUUUGGUGGCAGGAUAAAUCCAUAGGAAUGUAGCUUGCCUCGGUAAGUAUUAUAGCCUGUGGGAAUACUGCCAGCUGGGACUGAGGACUGCGACGUAAGUCAAGGAUGCUGGCAUAAUGGUUAGAU
rnacentral:rRNA from 1 species